rnacentral:tRNA from 1 species
GCCUUAGCUAAAUUAAAGUGUCUGGUUUGCAUUCAGGAGAUGUGUAUUAGUUUUACACAGGUUUUAU